rnacentral:misc_RNA from 1 species
AACGCACCUUGCGCUCCUUGGUAUUCCGAGGAGCAUGCCUGUUUGAGUGUCAUUAAAUUAAUCAAAUUCUUUUUUUUCUUUUAAAAAGGGAUUUGGAUUUGGAGUGCUGCUGGCUUGUCAAAAGUCAACUCCUCUUAAAUACAUUAGCGUGUACACUUUGUGGAUAGGCUUUGGUUUGAUAAAAUAUCUAUGCCAUUGCUGUGAAGCAAAAGUCAGCUUCUAAUUGAGUUAGUUAACCAACUAUCAUUAUCACUCUUGACCUCAAAUCAGGUAGGACUACCCGCUGAACUUAA